rnacentral:misc_RNA from 1 species
GAUGAAGAACGCAGCGAAAUGCGAUAAGUAAUGUGAAUUGCAGAAUUCAGUGAAUCAUCGAAUCUUUGAACGCACAUUGCGCCCGCCAGUAUUCUGGCGGGCAUGCCUGUUCGAGCGUCAUUUCAACCAUCAAGCCCCAGGCUUGUGUUGGGGACCUGCGGCUGCCGCAGGCCCUGAAAACCAGUGGCGGGCUCGCUGUCACACCGGGCGUAGUAGAUUUUAUCUCGCUCAGGGCGUGCUGCGGGUUCCGGCCGUUAAAAAGCCUUUUUUACCCAAGGUUGACCUCGGAUCAGGUAGGAAGACCCGCUGAACUUAAGCAUACAAUAAGCGGAGGA